rnacentral:lncRNA from 1 species
CCAGGCGAGCUGCGCCCCCCACCCCGCCCCCCCCCCCCCGGGGGCCUGCCCCCCCCCUGUCCCCCAGCCCCCACCCCCCCCCCCCCCCACAACCUCUACACCCACCCUUCCCAUACCUCAGAGCCUUGCCCUGUGAGGCUCUGCCCUGUGCCCCCCCCCGCUCGCCAGGCUGCGCUCACCAUCCCUGCUCUUUCUGCCCAGGCCCCCCCCUCGGACAGGCCGCCCCCCCCCACCCGCCCGCUGCCUGCGGACCCCGUGGCGCCAGGCACUCAGCCCCCCGCUCCUGCCAAGCCCCCCCCACCUCGCCGGCCCCUGCCCUCGGACCCCCCGGGGCCUUCACUGCCACGCAGCGAGAGCCCCCCCGGCCACCCCCACGUCACCGUCAUCCCUUCCAGGCCGGCGCCGCCGCCCCCCGCGGGCACCCCCCGGGAGGCCUGAGCGGGGCCGGGACCGCCGCUGGAGCCGCCGGGCCGGGAGGGGGGCCGGGGGGGGGGCUCGCCGCCUGCUUGUCGCCGCCGGGCCAAUAAAGGGGCCGUGAGCCUGCCUCCGUGCUGCCUCCGGGGCACCGGGAGGGGGGGGACGGGGAACGGUACCGGGGGGGCUCCGGGACUACAACUCCCG